rnacentral:rRNA from 1 species
GAACGGGUGAGUAACGCGUGGGGAAUCUGCCUUUGAGCGGGGGACAACAUUUGGAAACGAAUGCUAAUACCGCAUAAAAACUUUAAACACAAGUUUUAAGUUUGAAAGAUGCAAUUGCAUCACUCAAAGAUGAUCCCGCGUUGUAUUAGCUAGUUGGUGAGGUAAAGGCUCACCAAGGCGAUGAUACAUAGCCGACCUGAGAGGGUGAUCGGCCACAUUGGGACUGAGACACGGCCCAAACUCCUACGGGAGGCAGCAGUAGGGAAUCUUCGGCAAUGGACGAAAGUCUGACCGAGCAACGCCGCGUGAGUGAAGAAGGUUUUCGGAUCGUAAAACUCUGUUGGUAGAGAAGAACGUUGGUGAGAGUGGAAAGCUCAUCAAGUGACGGUAACUACCCAGAAAGGGACGGCUAACUACGUGCCAGCAGCCGCGGUAAUACGUAGGUCCCGAGCGUUGUCCGGAUUUAUUGGGCGUAAAGCGAGCGCAGGUGGUUUAUUAAGUCUGGUGUAAAAGGCAGUGGCUCAACCAUUGUAUGCAUUGGAAACUGGUAGACUUGAGUGCAGGAGAGGAGAGUGGAAUUCCAUGUGUAGCGGUGAAAUGCGUAGAUAUAUGGAGGAACACCGGUGGCGAAAGCGGCUCUCUGGCCUGUAACUGACACUGAGGCUCGAAAGCGUGGGAGCAAACAGGAUUAGAUACCCUGGUAGUCCACGCCGUAAACGAUGAGUGCUAGAUGUAGGGAGCUAUAAGUUCUCUGUAUCGCAGCUAACGCAAUAAGCACUCCGCCUGGGGAGUACGACCGCAAGGUUGAAACUCAAAGGAAUUGACGGGGGCCCGCACAAGCGGUGGAGCAUGUGGUUUAAUUCGAAGCAACGCGAAGAACCUUACCAGGUCUUGACAUACUCGUGCUAUUCCUAGAGAUAGGAAGUUCCUUCGGGACACGGGAUACAGGUGGUGCAUGGUUGUCGUCAGCUCGUGUCGUGAGAUGUUGGGUUAAGUCCCGCAACGAGCGCAACCCCUAUUGUUAGUUGCCAUCAUUAAGUUGGGCACUCUAACGAGACUGCCGGUGAUAAACCGGAGGAAGGUGGGGAUGACGUCAAAUCAUCAUGCCCCUUAUGACCUGGGCUACACACGUGCUACAAUGGAUGGUACAACGAGUCGCGAGACAGUGAUGUUUAGCUAAUCUCUUAAAACCAUUCUCAGUUCGGAUUGUAGGCUGCAACUCGCCUACAUGAAGUCGGAAUCGCUAGUAAUCGCGGAUCAGCACGCCGCGGUGAAUACGUUCCCGGGCCUUGUACACACCGCCCGUCACACCACGGGAGUUGGGAGUACCCGAAGUAGGUUGCCUAACCG